rnacentral:rRNA from 1 species
AGAGUUUGAUCCUGGCUCAGAUUGAACGCUGGCGGCAUGCCUUACACAUGCAAGUCGAACGGCAGCACGGGAGCAAUCCUGGUGGCGAGUGGCGAACGGGUGAGUAAUAUAUCGGAACGUGCCCAGUCGUGGGGGAUAACGUAGCGAAAGUUACGCUAAUACCGCAUACGAUCUAUGGAUGAAAGCGGGGGAUCGCAAGACCUCGCGCGAUUGGAGCGGCCGAUAUCAGAUUAGGUAGUUGGUGGGGUAAAAGCCCACCAAGCCUGCGAUCCGUAGCUG